ACGAACGCUGGCGGCGUGCCUAAUACAUGCAAGUAGAACGCACAGUUUAUACCGUAGCUUGCUACACCAUAAACUGUGAGUUGCGAACGGGUGAGUAACGCGUAGGUAACCUGCCUGGUAGCGGGGGAUAACUAUUGGAAACGAUAGCUAAUACCGCAUAAUAUUGAUUAUUGCAUGAUAAUUAAUUGAAAGGUGCAAUUGCAUCACUACCAGAUGGACCUGCGUUGUAUUAGCUAGUAGGUGAGGUAACGGCUCACCUAGGCGACGAUACAUAGCCGACCUGAGAGGGUGAUCGGCCACACUGGGACUGAGACACGGCCCAGACUCCUACGGGAGGCAGCAGUAGGGAAUCUUCGGCAAUGGACGAAAGUCUGACCGAGCAACGCCGCGUGAGUGAAGAAGGUUUUCGGAUCGUAAAGCUCUGUUGUAAGAGAAGAACGGGUGUGAGAGUGGAAAGUUCACACUGUGACGGUAUCUUACCAGAAAGGGACGGCUAACUACGUG
rnacentral:rRNA from 1 species